CCUACGGGUCGCACCAGUGGGGAAUAUUGCACAAUGGGAGCAAGCCUGAUGCAGCCAUGCCGCGUGUAUGAAGAAGGCCUUCGGGUUGUAAAGUACUUUCAGCGGGGAGGAAGGUGUUGUGGUUAAUAACCACAGCAAUUGACGUUACCCGCAGAAGAAGCACCGGCUAACUCCGUGCCAGCAGCCGCGGUAAUACGGAGGGUGCAAGCGUUAAUCGGAAUUACUGGGCGUAAAGCGCACGCAGGCGGUCUGUCAAGUCGGAUGUGAAAUCCCCGGGCUCAACCUGGGAACUGCAUUCGAAACUGGCAGGCUAGAGUCUUGUAGAGGGGGGUAGAAUCCCAGGUGUAGCGGUGAAAUGCGUAGAGAUAUGGAGGAACACCAGUGGCGAAGGCGACUUUCUGGUCUGUAACUGACGCUGAUGUGCGAAAGCGUGGGGAUCAAGCAGGAUUAGAUACCCUCGUAGUC
rnacentral:rRNA from 1 species